rnacentral:lncRNA from 1 species
ACGAGUUGGCCAUGUCGACUAAGGCGGACUGGACUGGAAGAACAAUGAACGAGUGUAGGCUAACAUCCGAAUAGUUGCAAUUAGAUUUUGAAGAGAAAAUAAGUAAUUUGGUAUCUGAAAUUGUAAACAUUGAUUAAAUUAGUUUUUGAAAUUUUACAAAUAGAUAAAUAUAUAUCUGAAAUUGUAAAAUUUCAGUCAAAAUAGUCUAUCAGUAGUAAAUUUUUGUCUUUAGAUAUUUUGAUGUGACAUUGUAAUUGAAUAUGUGGCUUAUCAACGUUGAACUAACACUAAUGUAAUCUUUUAGGAGACAAAUAUUUCAAAGGAAUUUUGUCAUUUCACACAAAUUUGCGAGCAAUUGAAAUUAUGCAUAGACUAAUUAUUGAUAAAUUAGUUCAUUAAAUAUUUAAAUUUCAUAGGAAAUUGUUUCAUGUUAUAAUGACAUUGAUAUGAGAUCAACACAGAUUCAUAUUAGAUAUUCAAUUAAUAUGUCAUAUUAUAGUCUCUAACUAUUUUGAUUAAUAUUUUAUAAUGUCAUAAAUGUAUUUGUCAAUUUAUAAAAUUUUAUUAUUAAUUUUUGUGACUCUUACAAUUUUAAGGUCUAAUUUGUAAAUUCACUUGAUCUUGAGGGAGGGUAUAAUUUUAAGGUCUAAUUAUAUCACUUGCACAUUCUUUUGUUUGUUAUCCCAUCUUUUUGCUAGUUACUUACUUAUAGAAAGAAAAUUAUCCAAUUAUCUUUAUAAAAAAAAUUAAAUAAAUAUUAUCCAUUCUAUCAAAAAUCCAUUCUUCUCAUCUUUUUUCAUUUUUACCAUUUACUUGAACUCUAUAUCCUACCAAAGGUUUGUCUUUUUUUUUUCUUCUCUUCAUUUACGUAAACUCAAUUCUUAUAUCUCUUUCCUUCCUUUUUUUACCUGUAGAUGUUUGUAUAUUAAUUUGUGGAUGUUGUUCUUUUAUAUGUAUCAUGUGAGUUUGAUCGAUUUAUGUUUAUGUUUUUUAAAGUGUUACAUUUUGAUUUGUUAAGGAUUUACGCAAUCUCAAUUUAUAUAUGUUUACAAAGUCUUAGUUUGAUAUGUUAUCAGAAUUACAUAGUGCAUUUUUAAGCAUGUUUUCCUAUAAAUGUCUAUAGUUUACACAAUCUUAGUUUACAUAUGUUUACGCCGUCUUAGUUUGCAUAUGUUAUUAUAAUCACAAUAUUUUUAUGCAAGCAAGUCUCUAUAUUUGUCUGCAGAGUGUAUACUAAAUCUUAAUUUGCAUACAUUUAUGUAGUCCCAAUUUAUGUAUGUUUAGAUAAACUUUAUUUGCAUAGGUUUACAUAAACUUAGUAGUCCAAAUUUAUCUCUGUUUACGUAAACUUAAUUUGCAUAGGUUUACAUAAACUUAAUUUGUAUAAAUUCUAAUUUAUGAACACGUAGUGAAUUGAGUUGGCGUAUAAUUUCUAUAAUUUGAAGAAGAAAAGAAGAAAAUGCACAACACAAAUAACUUACUUUAAGGAAAACUCCUUUGGCAAAUUCCUUCAAUCUUCUAUUUAUUUAUUUAUUUUUCUAGAUUUUUCAUAUGGAGUGUGAGAUAUGAGGUGAGUGGUGAAGAGAAAUAGUGAAAUAAGGAUGUAACAAGUAAGAAUGGUGAAAGGACAUUUUAUUUAAUUUUAAAAAAAAACAUUAAUGGAAUAUAACUAAAGAAAGAUAGGUGUUACUAACAAAAGUGUAAUUAUAUUCAUAAUAAUAUAUUAAUAUUAAUGGUUAAAUAAAUUUUUAUUCACUAUAAAAUCACUAUUUUAUCUAGUCUUUAAUAUAAGAGGAAAAAUAAAACAAAAAACAUCAAAACCAAUAAAAUUAUUUAUAAUGGUAAUUUUUGGACAUUUUUUUAAAUAUACUCUCAUAAAAAUUGUGAUAUAUUAAAUACAUUUACUAAUAUUAUAAAGACAAACAUUUAAACGAAGGCAAAAAAAGUUUUAUAAAUACAUCUUAAAAAUUGUGAUUUUUUUAUACUAAAGACCAGAUACAGUGUUUUGUUUUUAGUUUUUAUUAAAAAUGUUGUCAUCCUUUAGUUCUCUAAACAUUUUCUUUUUCAUUUUUAGUCCUUAAUUUGACUAAUUUUUUGCACUAAUAUUUAGAACAUUUUAAGAAAUUUUCCCACAAAAAAUUAGAAUUUUUUAACGAACGAUAAAUUAAAUAUAAUUUUUAAAAUACAAAAAGUUUAAAAAUUCAUAUUUAAUUUAUAUUUUGUUAAAAAAUUCAAAAUUUUUGUUGGCAAGUUUUUAGAUAUGUCUUGAACACUAUUGAAUACAAUCAUUCAAAAGUUUGAAUGAUAUACACCAGAGUUAGAUUUAAAAUUAGGAAGGAAAAAAAUGUAAACGAAAAUUUUUAGGUGUCUAAAAGUUGACAAAUUUUUUUAUAAGGAUUGAAAACAAAAUAAUGAUAUUCUAUUGGGACUAAAAACUUAUUUAACUUAAUAUCAAUUUAAAAAUAAGACAUUAAUUAUUAAUGAUACAAAUGCUUAACUAUAUAUACAACUAGUUGAAAAUCAUUUUUUGUAUCCAAUAAUUGUUCUCUAUUCAUAUUCUUCGAUAUAAAUAAAUGUAUUUGGGAUCAUUUAUAUGUGUCUUUUAUAUUCGACUGAUAAUAGACUUGUCGUCUAAAAAGUUACUAAUAUGAGUCACGCUCAAGCUAACUUUGCCCAUUUCAUUAUUCAAAGGGCUAAUCUUGGAUCAACUCGGCAUGUGUCAUAUAGGAGCAUAAAAGGUUCUUGCAUAGGGCAUCUCGCAAGUAGUAAAGAGAAUCCGAAGUGGAGGAUCACAAUAGUUAUCUAUACCUUCACUUUCAACCACACGAUGACAAACAUAUUCUGAUCACAAUUAUACAAUAGCAACGAUCACCUCACAUCAGCAAGAACACACGUUCAUAAUUAGACGAUGAUCCAUAAAUCAAGGAUCAUCUCACUAGAAACCCUAACGAUUUUUUUUUGUUGAGAAAACCUAGGGAAUGUCAUAUAAAAAGGGCAUCUAAUGUAGAGAAAGGUACACUUCAUUCUAACCUAAAACCACUCACUAUAAGACACAAAUUGACUUUAUCGUCAUAAUGUAUGCAUGUACACCCCAUCUAACAAUCAGUUGUAACUGUCUUUGUCAUCGUAAAGCCAUUGUUAUAUGUUUUUCAGCCAAGAAUCCAAGUCCAUUGUAGAUCAAUUUUGAUAGUUGUUUUUCCACUGGAAAGACAUUUAGUUUUAAAUAUUUUUACUGACAUUAGAAUAAACAUUAUUAAUUUAACAAAUACUACCUAUGUUCCUAUAUGUUAGUAAAGUGAAUAUAAUUGUCACAAAAAAAUAGAGUUUGAAUUGUGACCCUUUAAAAAAUUGCAUUUUAAUAUUAUUUUCUUAAAAUGUGACUUGAGACUUGAGGCUUUUAAACCAAUAUAAUGAACCUGCUCAUGCUUUGAGAAGGUUCAAGAACAAAAUUAUAUUUCAAAUUGAUAUUAGUGUGAUUCAGUGAAAUAACAUAAUAAUAAAAGAUAAGGGGUAAGGAAAUCACUCAAAAGGAAUAUUCUAGUUCACCCGGCAUAGGCUAAUCAAAUCCUCACAACUUAUGAGAUAUUCACUACUAAGCUGAGUCGCCCCUCAACUUAAUCUUCUUCCUUUAUUCAUACUUGAUAUACACUUGUAUUUUCUUAGCAUUAACAAGCUUACACAAAUCUCAAUUUUUUUUUUCAACUAGACAAGCUUGAUGAUACUUACAACAAGUCUAUCAAAAUUUCUCUCAAUUAGACAAAUUUGAUUGUGCUUACAAUAAGAUGAUAUUGAUGUUUUGUUUUGGAUCUAAUUACAACACUAUUAUUUAAAUAAGUUGAACAAAUAACACACUCAAAGAUUUGAUCCUAAAAUAUAUGACAAAGAGAAAUAAUGUGUUUCUUGAUAAUUGAAGAGAACUUUGAUAGCUUUGCACUUAAGAAAGUGAAAUAUAUUUGGUUGUAGUCUCUAUGAGAUUACAACUUGAAAAUCUUCUAUUUAUAGACUUGAGAAGACUCUUUGUUGCUGUAAAGAACACAUAUAAUCGUUGGGCACAUGUCCCAAGGUGUUAAAGUAUAUUGCUUAAAUGUCAUCUGCAAUAUGGUUAAACUCUUCUUUCUGGGUAAUCAUUCUCUUCUCUGAGUAUAUUUAUGAUCAACCUUUGCUUUGUAAGAAGACACCCUCAUCAAUUUGAAUAUACCAUAUACUUUUAUGAACAUGAGAGAGAAACUUCAUCAUUUUUUUUACAGCUUUGGACAAUUGUCAUGGGCUGUAAAGUAGGAUCAAUAAGCUUGCAAUAAGUUGUCUUUUGUAUUUGCAACGUAGAACACUCUCUUCUUAACGUCCUUAUGGUUGAAUGUCCUCAACUCUGAACCGUGAAUACAAUAUUGAUGUCAUUGUAUCCAAAUAUAGGGACUCAUUUUAUAAACAUUAUGAAAAAUAUAUUAAUCUUUAGGUUUAAAUAUGUCUUUGGUCCCUGCAAAUAUACCACGUUUUGAUUUUAGUCCUUGUAAGUUUUUUUGUUUGGAUUUAGUCCUCCUAAAAUCAGAGACAACCGAUUUUGGUCCCUAAAAAAAGAUUUGAUAAACUGCCAUGACACGUGGGCCUAUAAAUACACCCCAACACAUCAUCUUUUAUGAUAUAUUAAAAAUUAAAAUAUUGUAUAUUAUUAAUUAAUAAAUUUAUUUAUUGAUCAUUUAAUAAUUAGUGUUAUUUUAUAAAGAAAUAUGAAUAGAAAUAAAAAGUGAGGUUUAGGGGUUUUUGAAAAACUCGUCGUUCUCUUAAUGUUGAUUUGACGUUAGGGAUCAAAGUCAAUCGUCUCUGAUUUUACCGUGACUAAAUUCAAGCAAAAAAAUUUACAAGGACUAAAAUAAAAAAGUGGUAUAUUUACAAGGACCAAAUACAUAUUUAAACCCAAUAUUUAUGAAUAUGUGUUUGUAAACCUUUAUUUUUGAGAAAUGAUAUUUUAGACACAAAAAUUGACUUUAAAAAGAGACAAUGUAUAAAAUACAAAUCGAUAGUGUUUGCACUUAGACCGAUGUGUAUCGCGUGGAUACCACGGUAAUAGAGAAAAGACAAAAGCAUUGUAUUUUUGUACAUACAUUAUACAUAUACAACGUCGGUUGUCAAAUUUUGUAUUUAAAUAUAAUUUCUCUUUAUUUUUUACAACUCUCCUACAGCAGAAGUAGCAAUGUCAAUCACACAAAAAUGGGGGUUUGAAUUGUGACACUUUUAAAAUUUUGAUUUGUGUGCUUAAUUUAAAUUAACUCAAGAUCAAUCUUGGAUGAAACAGAAUGUCCAGAAUGGCCUGAAUAUGUUAGAAGUAAAUAAAAAAAAAUUGUUUAUAAUGUAGUGUGAUUUGUGUGUGCAAAUAAUUAAAGAUAAGGGAUAUAAAAAUCACACACAAAAAGUAUACUGGUUCAUCCAACUCGGGCUAGUCUAGUCCUCACAACCGUGAGAUUUUCACUAUGUGCUUCAGAACCAGAAUGUUCUCCUUCACACAUUUCACUUGAUCAUACAUUGAUCAAUUACGAUCUUUACCUUUCAACCUAGAAAGAAUUUAUAUAAUCACCUUGAAAGGAGUUUUACAAACAUACUUAAUCUAACAUAAAAGAUAGACUUGAGGUAUAAAUGAUGUGUAGGAUAAAAGUGUUUGGGUCUUGAAACUUCUGAAUACUUGUUUGAGAUAAAUAAACACAAACUCAGUAAAUGUUGAUCCACAAAUAUAGCAAACAAAACUGGAGUUUGCUUGAAGAGUUUUUGACUUGUUAUUACUUAUACAAGUGUUGGUAGAUUUGUAAAUUGAACUCUUGCCUUCAUCUUCAAGUUGAUUUUCAAUUUAUAGAUGAUAAAAAGCUUUGAAUAUUCAGUUUAAACUGAAUAUAGUUGUUGAACACAAUUCCCAAGUGUCAGAUCUAUUUUAAAGAAAUUAAACAUAUGUUUAUGUUGUUGUCCAAAACGUUCUUGACAACGAAGAACGUUUUUGCUUUUGGGUCUGAUGGAAAACGUAAAUGGGUGAGUGAAUGAGCUGUGAAAUGUCAAUUGGUACUAUUUCAAAUCAUAAUUAUGUAGAGCUUUCUGCAGAAUAUUUUAAAUACAAUGUACUUGCGUUCUUGUUCACAACUCAUCAAUUUGAAGAUCAAUCUUGAGUUUAUUUUCCUCCUUUGGACAUUCAGCUCAAGUUAUGGGCUUCACAUUGAUUUGAGAAGUAUCGAUACUCUUUAAAUUGUGGUUUGGACUGUGGAAAUGAUAUGUUUUAAUUAUGUAUUUAAAAGAGAAUAACCAAAAUGUUCUUUUGUAAAACUAUAACGUUGUUGGAUUUUUGUUGUUGUAUGGAAAACGUGGAUGAAUAAUUCAUUAGUUGUCUAGUGUCAAUCUUUUGUCGCAGAAGCAUGAUGUACUUUAUGUUAAAAGGUGCAACAACAAUGUUCUAGUUGUCAUUACUCAUAGCUCGUCAAUAUAGAGAUUAAUCUUGAUGUUGUUUGCUUCUUUGGGAAAAUGAUUCAUUUUACUUCUGUCCAUAAAUGAAAUAACCAUAAUGAUCUUGAUAAUAAACCAAAAUGAACUUCGUUUUUCCAGACUUCUGUUUUUAAUAAACCAGAAUAAUCUUCGUUUUUCCAUAAUUCAGUCUUUAAUAAACCAUAAUGAUCUUAGUUUUUCAGACUGUUGUUUUUUAAUAAACCAGAAUGAUCUUCGUUUUUUUAGACUUAUGUUUUUAAUAAAUUAAAAUGAUAUUCGUUUUUUCAUAAUACUAUUUUUAAUAAACAUAAUGAUAUUUGUUUUUCAGAUUUAGUUAAGGCAUGAUUUGCUUUGAUUUAUUACAUGGUGUGAUCAUUGAUUGUUGUAUAAAUGUUUUUUAUCACCUUUUUCAUGAAGAUGCUAUCUUGAAGAUGUAAUAAUCAUUUUCUUGAAUGAUUGAUAUAUGAUAUUUUUUUUUAAGAUUCUUUCAUUAUUGAGUAGAUAUUUAUGCACUUUGAUAGAAAACAUGCUUUUGUAAAUAAGUUGUGUUUUAUGUGGUUUUCCCAUGUUACAACUUCCGUACCAAUUCGGUCAGAAAGCAAGCUUUUGUAUAGAAAACAACAAGCUGUGUCAUUUCAAAUAAAGAAAUGAAAGGAACAAAAUAUAACAAAUAUGAAACCAUUACUAGUAAUUUUAAGAUGUCCCCUGUUUUGUAUAGAAAACAACCAUUUCAAAUAAAGAAAUGAAAGGAACAAAAUAUACAAAAUAUGAAACCAUUGCUAGUAAUUUUAAGAUGUCCCCUGUUUUGUAUAGAAAACAAACUCUAUCAUUUCAAAUAAAGAAAUGAAAGGAACAAAAUAUACAAAAUAUGAAACCAUUUCUAAUAAUUUUAAGAUGUCUUUUAUAACUUUUUUGGCAAGACAGCUUAGACAAAGUACUAUUGGUGUCUAACCAACAAGGUUAAGAUUAUUUCUAUCUUCUCUGCUAUUUGAAUUCAUCAUAAUUGCAUAUAUUGUAUCAAAUGUGGUAAAUGAGUCAACGCUUUUAGUUAUUUAAUUAAAGAAAAAAUAUACUAUAAAUUAUUACUACUCCAUCUUAAAUCAUAUCUCACUUUGCACAUCCAAAAAAAUAAUUGAUUUUAUUAUUUAAUCAUAUAAUUAUAAUUGUCAUCAUAGAACUACACAAUCAAAUGUUCGUUUUGGCGGUCAAUGUAAAAUUGUUUACACAAAUCGUUUAUGCAGUUAAACUCUUUCAUAAUAUGUUACUAUAAUUUUGAUUAUUGUUAUAAAAAAAAAAGAAUAAAAAUGUAAAUUCUAUUAAAGAAAGCACAAGGCUUUUAUUGGAAAUAGUAAUUAUCAUAAAAAAAAAUUAAUUUGUGCAUAUUUAAAAAAAAAAGACCUAAAAAUAAAAUAAAAUAAAAGAUCAAAGUUGUUAUAAAUAAAUAAGAUACUUAAAUCGUACCUUAUAAUAAUCAUAAUUAUCUCCGAACCCUACAUUAUCUCCGAACCCUACAUUAUCAUUCACCGUACCUUAUAAUAAUCAUAAUUAAUUAACUGAUCACAAAUCAGAAUAUUAACUAACUCGCUACUAGUUGUAAUUAUUUUAUUAUAUUAGUAAUGGAGUUGAACAGAAAGUGAUAAGAAUACUUGCUUUGAUCGAGAAGGGGAAGUGACGGAACCGUUGGAGGAAACAGUUGUGUCAGCGGAAGUUGCGGCGGAGAGGGUGAGUUUGUUGCGGCGGGGAGUGGAUGUUGUUGGGAAGAAGAGAGUGGUCGAAUUUGGUUGAAGUGAAAAUGGAGAAAGAGAGUGAGAAUGAGAGAAUUUGAAGGUAUGAAUUGGAGUUAGUGUGGCGGCCAUAGCUAGAAAUGCAAAGAAGCAAAUUGAAAUGAAAUAUCAGUGAGUUGGUGUGGAAGCUUUUAGUGUAUUUUUCAGUGGCUUGUUCUUGGCACCUAAAUUUUUUACCUCCUCUGUUGCUUUCUAAAUUUUAAUUUUUAAUAUUGAAACCAAAUGAGAUUCG